GCCGCAUUUUGCCCCCUUCAUUAUUUCAGACAAUAUCAAACUCUUCCCUUUCAGACAUACAGCACCACCUUCCGACAGCCAUUUUCAAACCAUACUCCUUUUUUCUUAAUUGCUUACUCAACAAGGGUUUAAAAGGUAUAAGUAAUCGAUUCAUCACCCCCACGAAUAACAUACCCCCGCAAUGGAAAUUCCCGGGGUCGUCAGUCUCAUGCAACAUUUGAAUUACACAACCGGGUCGUAUACCUGCUUGUAUUGAACCUUCUUUGGCUUCCUGAGUCCUAGG